rnacentral:tRNA from 3 species
UCGGGGGUAGCUCAGCGGCAGAGCAGGAGACUGUUAAUCUCUUGGUCGUGGGUUCGAUCCCCACCCCCCGAGCCA